rnacentral:rRNA from 1 species
CCUACGGGUGGCAGCAGUGGGGAAUCUUCCGCAAUGGGCGAAAGCCUGACGGAGCAACGCCGCGUGAUCGAAUGAAGGCCUUCGGGUUGUAAAGAUCUGUUGACAGGGACGAAUAAGCAAUGCGAAUAGUUUUGUGUAUGACGGUACCUGUUUAGAAAGCUCCGGCUAACUACGUGCCAGCAGCCGCGGUAAUACGUAGGGAGCAAGCGUUGUCCGGAAUUACUGGGCGUAAAGGGCGCGUAGGUGGGCGCGUAAGUCAGGUGUGAAAACUCCGGGCUCAACCGUGAGAUUGCAAUUGAAACUGGGUGUCUUGAGGGCAGGGGAGGAAGGUGGAAUUCGUGGUGUAGCGGUGAAAUGCGUAGAUAUUAGGAAGAACACCGGUUGCGAAGGCGGCUUUCUGGACUGUACCUGACGCUGAGGCGCGAAAGCGUGGGUAGCGAACGGGAUUAGAUACCCCAGUAGUC